AUUGAACGCUGGCGGCAGGCCUAACACAUGCAAGUCGAACGAGUGGCGGACGGGUGAGUAAUGUCUGGGAACCUGCCUGAUGGAGGGGGAUAACUACUGGAAACGGUAGCUAAUACCGCAUACCAUCAGAUGUGCCCAGAUGGGAUUAGCUAGUUGGUGGGGUAACGGCUCACCAAGGCGACGAUCCCGAGCUGGUCUGAGAGGAGGACCAGCCACAAUGGGAUUGAGACACGGGCCAGACUCCUGCGGGAGGCAGCAGUGGGGAAUAUUGGACAAUUGGGGCAAUCCUGAUGCAGCCAUGCAGCGUGUAUGAAGAAGGCCUUCGGGUUGUAAAGUACUUUCAGCGGGGAGGCGUUACCCGCAGAAGAAGCAACGGCUAACUCCGUGCCAGCAGCCGCGGUAAUUC
rnacentral:rRNA from 1 species